UUAUAAGCGGAGGAAAAGAAAACAACAGUGAUUCCCUUAGUAACGGCGAGUGAAAAGGGAGAAGCCCAGCACCGGAAUCUCGUGCUUGCAUUCGUGAGCAUGCGAAAUGUGGUGUUAGGAAAGGGUCACUCUUGCUCUGUACCUUUGCUGCCGGCGUCCAAGUCCGAUCGAAAGCGGCGGCCUCGUUGCCCGUAGAGGGUGCAAGGCCCGUGGGACCGGUGCGGGGGUGCAGGAGCGGCUCUUUCCGUGGAGUCGGGUUGCUUGAAAGUGCAGCCCAAAGUGGGAGGUAAACUCCUCCUAAGGCUAAAUAUCACCACGAGACCGAUAGCGAACAAGUACCGCGAGGGAAAGUUGAAAAGAACUCUGAAGAGAGAGUUCAAGAGUGCGUGAAACCGCUCAGGGGUAAACAGGUGGAACAGCCGAAGCUCGAACGGAGGGAUCUCAGGAUCGCUUGACUGGUUGCCAGCACGUGGCGGAGUGCUGCCGGUCGUCGCGCUGCUUCGGCAGCGUGUCGCCGGCGGAUGCUCUGCUGCGGACGUUGUGCGUCCGGUCGCGGUUCUCACGGCUCUCUCAGUAGGACGUUGCGACCUGUGGGUUGUGGUAGUUGUGCGGCUCUGAGGUUUUGCUUCUCCGUCUGGACAUCGUGCCUGUGUGCGUUUCGCAGCGUGCCGGGUGCGGUGGGCAUGCUGGGGAUGUGCUGUUGGCCUUCGCGGUCGGCGGUGCUCUCCAGGCCUCUUGGAUGUCCGUCUCGUCUACCUGCCUACAGUGUUCUAUGGCGAUCGGGACCAGCAUCGGCUUGGGGCUUCGAGCUCCGUCGGUGUGCUGGCAGUGCAUCAGCUGUUGCUGGGUGGGCGUUUCGGUUUGGUGUCUUCGGACGCCCCGGAUGCCUAAUCGCCUCACGGCGGUUCCGGCGGCAGGUUACUUGGUGUUGCUGUCCGGCGUGGUUCUCAGUAGUCUGCGACGAUUAGGAUUGUGGUUCCCCCUGACCCGUCUUGAAACACGGACCAAGGAGUCUAACAUGUGCGCGAGUCUCUGGGCUUGAAACCCCAAGGGCGCAGUGAAAGCAAAGGUCUGUCUCGUGCAGGCUGAGGGGAGAUCCGUUCCGUUGGUCUAAUGCCGCGGCGGCGCAUCCCCGGGGCGUUUGCGAUGGCGGUCGGCUUGCCGGCAGCCGGGCAGGCGCACCAAGAGCGCACAUGUUGGGACCCGAAAGAUGGUGACCUAUGCCCGGCCAGGACGAAGCCAGGGGAAACUCUGGUGGAGGUCCGCAGCGAUUCUGACGUGCAAAUCGAUCGUCUGAGCCGGGUAUAGGGGCGAAAGACUAAUCGAACCAUCUAGUAGCUGGUUCCCUCCGAAGUUUCCCUCAGGAUAGCUGGCGCUCGCUGUGAAAGAGUCUCAUCCGGUAAAGCGACUGAUUAGAGGCUUUGGGGUCGCAACGACCUCGACCUAUUCUCAAACUUUAAAUGGGUGAGAAGCGGGGCAUUCCUAAAUGCUAGGCGAUGCCCUGUUCUGGAUCUACGAGUGCCCAGUGGGCCAAUUUUGGUAAGCAGAACUGGCGCUGUGGGAUGAACCAAAAGCCAGGUUAAGGUGCCGGAGUUGACGCGCAUCAGAUACCACUAAAGGCGUCGGUGGCUAAAGACAGCAGGACGGUGGCCAUGGUAAGUCGGCAUCCGCUAAGGAGUGUGUAACGACUCACCUGCCGAAGCGACCGGCCCUGAAAAUGGAUGGCGCUUCAGCGUCGCACCCAUACCCGGCCGCCGGGUUAGAGCACGUGUCGGUUGAUUUCGGUCGGCUGGCGCGCACGAUGACCCGGCGAGUAGGAGGGAGCGCGGCGGCGUGCGUCGAAGGGGACUGGGCGUGAGCCCGCCUGGAGCCGCCGUCGGUGCAGAUCUUGGUGGUAGUAGCAAAUACUCCGGAAAGGCCCCGGAGGACUGAUGCGGAGAAGGGUUUCGCGUGGACAGCUGUUGGACGCGAGUCAGUCGAUCCUAAGCCCUAGGGUAAUUCCGAAAUGCAGAGGCGGCGGCUUGUCUUCUGUCCGAAAAGCAGAGGCUUGUCUGCACACCGUUGCAUGAUGGGCGAAAGGUAAACCGGCUAAAAUUCCGGUACCCGGCAGCGGAACCGAAUGCUCUAACGAGUUGCGGACCCGCGGUGGCACUGUAACAGGUGUUGCCAGGUUCGUCGCGGUAACGCGACAGGUCACGGAGACGCCGGCAGGGGCCUCGGGAAGAGUUAUCUUUUCUCCAGAAGCGGCCGAGGCCCUGGAAACCUCUUGGAGGGAGAGAGGGUUUUGGCUUUUAUGCGAGGAGCGUCGCCAACACGGGGCGGCGUCCGGGGAACUCCUGCCAGGCCCUUGAAAAUCCGUGCGAGGGGAACGCGGAGGUGUCGCGCCGGAUCGUACCCAUAUCCGCAGCAGGUCUCCAAGGUGCACAGCCUCUUGUCGAUAGAUCAAUGUAGGUAAGGGAAGUCGGCAAACCAGAUCCGUACCUUCGGAAGAAGGAUUGGC
rnacentral:rRNA from 1 species